GGCGCGGUAGUUCAACGGAUAGAAUAGAAGUUUCCUAAACUUUAGAUCUGGGUUCGAUUCCCUGCCGUGCUA
rnacentral:tRNA from 1 species